CGACCGAGUGAAUGCGCAGGUACAUCAAAACAAGACGAAGACGAAACAAAAAUUGCUUAAAGAAAAUCUAAAGGAAGCCGGGAAGAAAUAAAGUUGUCUCAAAGUAAUAAACCUUCUCCACGUAUAAUAAAUCUGUCUCAGAAGAACAGCCCGAGUGAUUUGUGUGUCUACAGGAAUGCCCCGAUCUCCCAGUGACAAGAUACUGUCAACGCAACUGUGCCUAAAGUUCCAUCAGGACGUGAUUGCCCAAACAAACCUGAAGUCACAGGAUUUUGUGUACAGCCUGACUAACUUGUUAGUGUCCAGAAAUAAACAUAUAUUAUCCCCAGAUGGCAACCCAGCAUCAAGCAUGAACAGCAGUGACAUCUAAAAGGGCCUAGCUCGUCAGCUCAAGGUGUCUGAGUCAGGGAGAAGCGAAGGCAAGGUAUGGGGGUCAGUGGUGGUCACUACGAAAGAUGAGGAAUAAGCUAUCUUUCCUUCGGAAUCAACUGAUAUGGGAAUAGGGAGAUUCUGGACAUGACAUAUAACUUGACUGAAAUGUUGGCUACACAUUUGGGUCAUGAUCCCAGAACUCAUAAAGAAAAUUAAAGGUUGACCCCCUCCACAAGAGAAUUAUCCCUGACUUGAUCCUGAAGAAGAAAUUCUGAGGGAUGCAACAGCUAAUGCUCUUCCCAUGGAAUUGAGUGGCUCCACCCCCAUGAAACAAAGUGGCUCUGCUCCAAAUGAUCAAAGUAGCUACGCCUGUGGUAAAAAGAAGAGAUGGUCCCAUUCUGAACAGACUAUGCUGCAGGAAUAAAAUCCAUAGAUGUCUUAGGGGAAAUUGACAAGUGCAUAAAACAGACUUAAUCCAUUGUCAAAACAUUUGUGCCAAACUAUACAAAAGAUCUUUGGCUCACACUAGAACAAAACUCAAUAACAUGAAACUAGGUGAAUCUUGUUAGAUAAGGAUACAUUAUGUAAAGGUGAAAAGCAAUAUGUAGCACCACUCAAUGUAUAGUUUUGUUCUUAGUACAAAAUUUCUAAUCAAAAGUAACAUAUCUGAACUUUGGGAAUCAUUAUCGUUUUGAGGACACCAAAUAUUGUACAGUCUGACUUGUUAUCAUUAGUUUAUAGUGGUUUGCAAAAGGAUCACACAUAACACUAAGCUAUAUUAAACAAAUACAAGGAUCUUUUUGACUCAAUUUUAAUAUUUGUUUUAUGUUUAAUGCUGUUUUCCCUAUCUGUGGAGGCUGUACAAACAGGCUGAAAAUGUAGUUAUCUGUUGAUAGAACUGAUACAAUUAUUGUCUGUCAAACUUUAUAGGACUAAGUUUGAUAUCAAGACUGGUAAAAGGAGUAACUCAAUGAAUGUUUUAGCUCACCUUAGCCGUAGGUUGUGGGUGAGCUAUGAGGAUCGUUGAAUGUCCCUCAUCUGACAUCCGUCGUCAUCCAUACUUACUAACUUAGUUUGUUUACACUCUAGUGGUCACAUUUUUGCCUCAAUUGUCACAAAACAUGGUCAGGAUAUUUGUCCCAGUAAUUACUGUGACGAGUCUGAAUAUGGGUCAUCUGGGAUGAAAAACUAGGUCACAUGACCCAAAAAUAGAAAAAUAAGUCUUGUUAACACUCUAAAGGCUACUUUUUCAGUCCAUAUACAUUUUAUCAUGGAAAUUUGUCAGAAAGGUUGUUUCGAUGAUUUCUAGCUUAAUUUGAAUAUGGGUCAUCUGGGUCAAAAACUAGGUCACCGAGCUCAAAUAUGGAAAAACCAUGUUAACACUCUAAAGGUACAAUAUAACAUUUUCAACCCAAAUAUCCUGGAAAUUUGUCAGAAAGGUUGUCUUGAUAAUUUUUAAGUCAAGUUCGAAUAUGGGUCAUCUGGGGUCAAAAUUUAGGUCACUGAGCCCACAACUGUUUAGACCGUUUUACAGGUGAGCGAUCUAGGGCUAUCAUGGCCCUCUUAUUUGGGAUUGGAGUUAUACUACAAUUUAGCUACACAUGCAAUGCCCAAUACUAGUAUGAUGUUUGUAUUAAAAGUGCCCAAUUGCAUAAUUUCUACUAAAUCUAAAGAUGUCUUGAGAAGUCAUUUUGUGUUAUUGUAAACUAAAGAAAACAUUUCAAAGUAUUUUGCUUAAUUGAAGUGUAUUUAGUUUUAAUGACCUUCUUAUGUAUCUAUAUAGAACACACAAGGCAAUUUCUUCCGCUAAACAAAAAAUACUUCAUUCAUGUCUGAUUAUAACCAGAUAUAAGUGAUAUGAUAAUGUGUAAAUCUACACUUAAGUAGCACACCCCUAAUGUGCACCGUUUCAAACUAUGAUCAGCUUGAUAACUUCUUAAUGUGUAUCAUUUCCUGGAUUCAAAAACAAAAUUUAAAAGAAAUUUACUGUCAAAAAACAAUUUUAUUUAAAUUUCAAUUACCCUACCCCCAAUUCAGUAUUGUCAAUAAAAACGACAUCACCCGAGAGACAAGAAAAAUCCUUUAUUUCAUUUUUUCAACAUUUUGGUAAGAAUUUGGUAUCAGAGUGACAAGAAAUAUAUUUGAUUUCAGAAAUGAUACAUUAUUGAUCACAUCACCCCAACAAACAUAAUCAUACUGAAAUAGCCAUAUGGUAUUUCAAUUUUAUCAUACUGUUUUGACCGUGUAAAAUAGAACAUUGACGUUGAAAAGCAAAAUCAAAAAGUUCUAGAAAUACUCAUGACCUGUUCUUUAUUAAUAAUUAUCUUUAAUCUUUUGGGAACAUUAUGCCAAAAAAUCAAUAUGUUUUACCAUCUCAUUUAAAAAAAAAGGUUUGUAAUUUCCAACCACCUAUUUCAGCCGGCCUGCAAGUUAUUAAAUCUUCAUAAAAGCUAAUAUUUAUGUGUAGAAAUGUAUUUAAUUGCCUUUUAAUGAAACUACAAUAUUAACUUCUGUAAAAAAUGUUUGCUAAUGAAAACAAAGAAGAAGAAAAAAAAAGUAUUUGUGCUUCUGGCUGGAUUCGAACCACUGCCUUGAUACCCUUAAAAGAUGUGUAGUCCUGUGCUUAACAACAUAGGCAUUAUAAUUGAAGAGUUUCAAGUGGAGUUUUUCAUUAGGGGUGUGCUACCUUAAAAUAAAAGUCAUAUCUGAUUAAAAUUGUAUUUCUGUGACAUCGCUUAAAUGCAAAGUGACUGUUUGUUUGUUUAGGCACUACAGUUGUAGCAACCUUAUUUGUUUACUAAUAAAUUGUACUGAAAUAUGUUUCUUGAGCCAGGAUUGUUUGUAUCAAAAUUUGUUAUUAUAUUGAAAUCAUAUAUUCAUGUUCAUAUAUUAUUUCUUUUCAACAAACAUGGAGUUGGUUAGCCAUUUGUGGGUUUAAUUAUAUUCAGAAAAUUUCUCUAGUGUGGUAAUUGUAAUUUGAAAAUGUAUUUAAUUUUUAAGAAAAUAGUGGUGAAAAUUAUGGUGUUCACAAAUGACAUCCAUAAUUUACCAGAUACAUUAAUAUUUACCAGAGAAAUAGAUUUAAGCUCGACCUUCGACUUUUGUCCAGCACUUGUAAGCUCUGCCAUUAUUUUAUAUAAUUGGUCACAUGAACACCACCUGCACUUCCCUUUUUUAUAAGAAAAUUUCCAGCCGUUCUUGACCAUGCAUGUAAGGUUUAUCAGUUACAUGUGUUUUAUCUUUGUUCAUGUCAUUUAGGGAAAUUUUACAUGUGUUUUAAAAUGUUAUUUCGUUGUGGUCAGAUACAUAUUGUUUGUAUGUUUACGAUAAUAUAAGUUACGGGUUUCUUAGUAGGUGACCGGAUGUGGGAUAUAUGGGGAGACAAUAUCAGGUGAGAGCGAAGCUCGAACCCGAAUAUGGUUUCCUGCGCCCGGUAUAUCCCAUAUCGGGCCACCUACUAACCACGUAACGUUAAUAUCACGUCGACAACUUCAUUUCUUCAUCGGAAUCGGGAAAUAGACGUCAUUUUGGGUACCAUAUAAAAUUAGUGACCCAAUAUGAUAAAAUUAUUGGGUCAUUGCGUGACCAAUGGCGUUGCGUCAUUCAUGUUGGAGGCGUGAUAUACUCAUAUAGAUUGAUGUUAAGUAACUUUAAAUCCUAGGGAAUCUAAAUUAAUAAAAUAAUUUGUAUUAUUGUAAGGUUGCUAGAUAUGAGACAACAGUUAAACACAACAACAGGUUUAUUAGUUAAAUGUUUUAUACAUGUUUCACUACGAGGAUAGAAAAAAUGAAAAGUUGUGGGUGUAACAAAAUUUCUUUGAUAGCAUAUUGAUAUUACCCAUUUGUACCGAUUUCAUUCACAUGAACGUUGGAAUAUCCUAUGUAAGAUUAAAACUCGUGAAGAAUAAAAUUUGGAUUCUUA